GAUGAACGCUGGCGGCGUGCCUAAUACAUGCAAGUCGAGCGAACAGACGAGGAGCUUGCUCCUCUGACGUUAGCGGCGGACGGGUGAGUAACACGUGGAUAACCUACCUAUAAGACUGGGAUAACUUCGGGAAACCGGAGCUAAUACCGGAUAAUAUAUUGAACCGCAUGGUUCAAUAGUGAAAGACGGUUUUGCUGUCACUUAUAGAUGGAUCCGCGCCGCAUUAGCUAGUUGGUAAGGUAACGGCUUACCAAGGCAACGAUGCGUAGCCGACCUGAGAGGGUGAUCGGCCACACUGGAACUGAGACACGGUCCAGACUCCUACGGGAGGCAGCAGUAGGGAAUCUUCGGAAAUGGGCGAAAGCCUGACGGAGCAACGCCGCGUGAGUGAUGAAGGUCUUCGGAUCGUAAAACUCUGUUAUUAGGGAAGAACAAAUGUGUAAGUAACUAUGCACGUCUUGACGGUACCUAAUCAGAAAGCCACGGCUAACUACGUG
rnacentral:rRNA from 1 species